rnacentral:lncRNA from 1 species
CAUUACUAGUUCACUGCUUAACCGGGUACCUUUUUCAGAAGCCAGCUCUAGAGGUGCAUGCUUGAACCACUCUUUACUGGCACCAGGGAGUAGAAAACUGAUGGCCAUGAGCGAGCUGAGGAAGAAGCAUUUGGAAUUCCUUACAUACUAGUCUUCAGGGAAAGCUGACUCAGAGACUUUGCCCUAACUGAUGAAUAAGGGCAAACAGCAGCAACUCAGAACGUGGUGGAAAAUGCAAAAAGCUCCCCAAAAGUCUGUGGCUAAGAUGAGAUUUCCUGUGUUGCUGUUGCUCACUGGCAGUAUGCGACUAUACCACCACUACAAAAGGAAUUUGCAUCUAUUCAAAGCAGUAUCCACCUACCCCGCUACCUCUCUCCUUUCCAGUUAUGUGACAAACAGGGAGUCAUUAGAAAUGAAGGCAGAGGUCUUGCAAAAGCUGAAGUGAGAGGCACAAAUAAAGCUGCUCAGGAAAUGAGCUCA